rnacentral:rRNA from 1 species
CAUGCAAGUCGAACGGUAACAGGCCACGACAAUCCCUUCGGGGUGCGUCGGGCGCUGACGAGUGGCGGACGGGUGAGUAACGCGUAGGAAUCUGCCUGGCAGCGGGGGACAACCCCGGGAAACCGGGGCUAAUACCGCAUAUUCCCUACGGGGGAAAGACGGGGACUUCUUCGGAGGCCUGUCGCUGCCGGAUGAGCCUGCGUUGGAUUAGUUUGUUGGUGGGGUAAAGGCCUACCAAGGCGAUGAUCCAUAGCUGGUCUGAGAGGGUGAUCAGCCACACCGGGACUGAGACACGGCCCGGACUCCUACGGGAGGCAGCAGUGGGGAAUAUUGGACAAUGGGCGCAAGCCUGAUCCAGCAAUGCCGCGUGUGUGAAGACGGCCUUCGGGUUGUAAAGCACUUUCGAUUGGGAAGAAGGGCGCGGGGUUAACAGCCGCGCGCCUUGACGGUACCGAUUGAAGAAGCACCGGCUAACUCCGUGCCAGCAGCCGCGGUGAUACGGAGGGUGCAAGCGUUAAUCGGAAUUACUGGGCGUAAAGCGCACGCAGGCGGUCGGCUAAGUCGGAUGUGAAAGCCCCGGGCUCAACCUGGGAACUGCAUUCGAUACUGGCUGACUAGAGUAUGGCAGAGAGAGGUGGAAUUCCGCAUGUAGCGGUGAAAUGCGUAGAGAUGCGGAGGAACAUCAGUGGCGAAGGCGACCUCUUGGGCCAAUACUGACGCUCAGGUGCGAAAGCGUGGGGAGCAAACAGGAUUAGAUACCCUGGUAGUCCACGCCGUAAACGAUGUCUACUAGCCGUUGGGGAUUAGUUUCCUUAGUGGCGCAGCUAACGCGAUAAGUAGACCGCCUGGGGAGUACGGCCGCAAGGCUAAAACUCAAAGGAAUUGACGGGG